UAUACCGUGAAACUGCGAAUGGCUCAUUAAAUCAGUUAUCGUUUAUUUGAUAAUACCUUACUACUUGGAUAACCGUGGUAAUUCUAGAGCUAAUACAUGCUGAAAAUCCCGACUUCGGAAGGGAUGUGUUUAUUAGAUAAAAAACCAAUGCCCUUCGGGGCUCCUUGGUGAUUCAUGAUAACUUUACGGAUCGCAUAGCCUUGCGCUGGCGACGGUUCAUUCAAAUUUCUGCCCUAUCAACUUUCGAUGGUAAGGUAUUGGCUUACCAUGGUUUCAACGGGUAACGGGGAAUUAGGGUUCGAUUCCGGAGAGGCAGCCUGAGAAACGGCUACCACAUCCAAGGAAGGCAGCAGGCGCGCAAAUUACCCAAUCCCGACACGGGGAGGUAGUGACAAUAAAUACUGAUACAGGGCUCUUUUGGGUCUUGUAAUUGGAAUGAGUACAAUUUAAACCUCUUAACGAGGAACAAUUGGAGGGCAAGUCUGGUGCCAGCAGCCGCGGUAAUUCCAGCUCCAAUAGCGUAUAUUAAAGUUGUUGCAGUUAAAAAGCUCGUAGUUGAAACUUGGGCCUGGCUGGCGGGUCCGCCUCACCGCGUGCACUCGUCCGGCCGGGCCUUCCUUCUGAAGAACCUCAUGCCCUUCACUGGGCGUGCUGGGGAAUCAGGACUUUUACUUUGAAAAAAUUAGAGUGUUCAAAGCAGGCCUUUGCUCGAAUACGUUAGCAUGGAAUAAUAAAAUAGGGCGUGCGUUUCUAUUUUGUUGGUUUCUAGAGACGCCGCAAUGAUUAACAGGAACAGUCGGGGGCAUCAGUAUUCAGUUGUCAGAGGUGAAAUUCUUGGAUUUACUGAAGGCUAACUCCUGCGAAAGCAUUUGCCAAGGAUGUUUUCAUUAAUCAGUGAACGAAAGUUAGGGGAUCGAAGACGAUCAGAUACCGUCGUAGUCUUUACCGUAAACUAUGCCGACUAGGGAUCGGGCGAUGUUCUUUUUCUGACUCGCUCGGCACCUUACGAGAAAUCAAAGU
rnacentral:rRNA from 1 species